GCAGGUGAGUGAUCAUAGCCCUGAUAGUGGGCAUAUGCUCAUACUGGCUUUGCAACUCAUUUGACAUAGAUGCCAGCACAUAACACUUAAUCCGACUGUCUUCAUCCGUCCACUUUUCAAAAGCAACCCUUUGCUCAGCAGUAGGAUGGUUUGGUAACACUAUGGGUUCGUGGUCGAGUACAUGAUUUAAUUUUUUGAAGGUCAGGAUAAUCUUGAAGUUUUUGAGUCAGUCUUUGUAAUUAGUAUCGAUCCAAUAAUUGGUUUCAAGGAUGCGGGCUAGAGAGUUCCACGUUGAUAUUUUUAAUUACGAGAGUAGAGAUUCAAGUUAGACUUUUAAACUUAAUGUUAUAUUUGCUUCUAGGGACUUUAAGAUGCAAAUAAUGACUCCUACUAAUUUUUUGGAUCCCUCCACUUUUCGGAAAGAAAAUGAAAAUCCUAACGCGAUAAAAGAUUCUUAGUGAG
rnacentral:lncRNA from 1 species